AUUCUCCUGGUCUUUGUGCCCCACCUCUGAGCUUUCAUAGUACCCAACAUCUAAGGAGGGCUUACCACAUGCCAGGCACUACUCUAAGGUCUGUCUAUCCUAUGAGGUAGCUACUAAUAUUUCCAUUUUACAGAGUGGUUUAGUCUAAAUGUAUGCAAGUAACGGAGGGGUGUGGGGAUUCUAACAAUUGUUCUGCCUGUGAGGUCUGAGCUCUUAACCACCACUCUUAUGGCACUUAUUCAACCCCCACUGACCUGCCUGUCUGCCCCCUGAACUUCAGCCUCUGAGGACAGGACUGUGUUUUUUCCCCUGCUUGAUCCCCAGCCCCAAGCACAGGGCUUGUACUGCAGGCACUCAGUAAUGGUAUGGGGCGAAUGGGAACAAUACCUUCUCCGUCUUGUUGCAAGUGCCAGAAACCUAAAUCAAAUGGACUUAAACUAAAAAGGGAUUUGCUGGCUCACGAAACUGGGAUGCUAAGGCGUCAGCUGGAGGCCAGUCUCAAUGUCACCUCCAUCUCCCAGCUACUGGCCGCUGCUUGGCUUUCUCCCAUCUGCAAUUGUCUGCACCAGCUGCCCAGACUCCCUCCUCUUUUAAGCAACCCUGUUAGUAAAAUCAUUCUACUUUCUCCCAGGGAUUAAUUCUAAGGAACACUCUGAUUGGUUCUGAGCUAUAGUCCACCCCUGUGACUGACACAAGGCAGGCCAUGUGGCCAUCUGGGUGGCCCAACAAUUGGAUCAAGGACCACGUGGAGAGAAGCCUCCUAAUGCAGACAAAAAAAUAUACCUGCCUUGGCCAGCAUUUAGUAAGAACCAUCUUAGUGCUACUUUCUGAGCUGUCUUCUUAGACAUCCUCUAGUCAGGUAUUUUCAAAGUUGAGAGAGCCUCAGAAUCCCGGAGUGCUUGUUGGGGCCAAGAAUUUGCAUUUCUAACAAGUUCCAGGUGGAAGGGCCACGCCUUGAGAACACCGCUCAUCUUCUCAUCUUCAACUUCGGGAGGAAUGCAGACCCUCAGGCCCCACACAGACCCACUGAAUCAGCAUUUGCAUUGGAGGACCAGAACAUCCCGCCAUAAAGUAGGUGGCUGGUCCUCACCUCCCAACCCCCUCGUGUGUGCACAUGUGUGCACGCACUUAAGAUGGGAAGCCCUGCUUUAAACCCAACCUCUUACUGUACAGAGGGAGAGACGAGGCCAUAGGCUCAGAGCACAAGAACACAACAGGGGAACGUCCUGCCAGGCUGAAGACUUGAAGCUGACCUGCACUUGGAUUUCUCCCCAGACCCAGCCAAGUCACACUCACCAACCUCAACCCUACACUUACUGUGCCAGCUGCUCCAUGGAUGGUCCCCACCCAUUUGAAAAGGUUGUCGGAUUCAGGGAAGGCAGAAAUUCCUUUGUCACCAGACAUCUGGGGGAAGAAACAACACCUGCUGGGCUGCAGACUACACUUUGAGGGGUCAGUGGGUGAACUCCUUCCUCUGAAGCGCAUCACAUUUUGAUCCAAAAUAAAGCAACCAGACCAAAUUGACAGGCUUUUCUGGGGAAGUGAUUCAGUUCUUGGGGGCUGAACCUUCCCCUUUGGGGAGGGGUACUGGGUAUGUUAAGGAGAGAGGGGUUAUGCAGAGAAGCAGAAGGGAGCUCUGUACUUCCAAUCUUGUUGGAUGCUGGGAAUUUAACUGAGCAUGCCAGUGAGUGCUGGUUACACACAAAG